AUAUAAGAAGUAAUAUAUACAAUUAGUUUCGGCCUAAAAUAAGAGAUUUCCUCCUUAUAUU
rnacentral:tRNA from 1 species